AUUUAUUUGAAUUAAAAUAAAUUUUUUAAAUUAAUAAUUUUAAUUUAAAUUCAAAAAUUUUUAUUAAAUAUAUAAAAAUAAAACGGCAUAUUCUAUUAGUCAAACUGGUCUAAUCUAACGGCAAACAUACAAACUAAAAAGGGUUUCAACAUCCAACGGCCCAAGUUGAGUGCAUCGCCAAAACUAUAAGAGCAUGAACCCUAAUUCUCUUUCUCUUCCUCUUUCCCUCUUGCUCUUGCGUUUCAGUGCUACCUAUUUUUGCAGCCGAAGUCUCGCUCUCUCUCUCUCUCUCUGAGACGCAGCUUUUGAUUCUUAGUUUACAACAAUAUAAUCUAAAUGCCUUCUUUAGCCUUAUCUGAUCUCAAAGAGAAGAAAGAAGAGAAAAAGAUGAAGAAGAAGAUUGCUAUCGAAACUCCAGAAACCGAGAAGAAGAUGAAGAAGCUAAAGGAACCCAAGGUUAAAGAAGAGGAAAAUGAUUUGGAGGUGAAGAAGAGUAAGAAGAAGCGAAAGGCGUCCGAACUCCAGUUGGAAGAGGAGGAGAGGAGCGAGACGAGCUCGGAGCUUGUUGAACCUGUGGAUGUGAAGGAGAAGAAGAAGAAAAAGAAAGCCAAGGUUGAGGAAGAGGAAGAGGAAGAUGAAGGGAAAAGUGAGGAUCCGAAUGCGAUUUCAAGGUUUCGGAUUUCGGAAGCGCUUAGAGAGAAGCUGAAGUCAAAGGGGAUUGAGUCGUUGUUUACUAUUCAGGCCUUGACUUUUGAUAUUAUUCUUGAUGGCACUGAUUNNNNNNNNNNNNNNNNNNNNNNNNNNNNNNNNNNNNNNNNNNNNNNNNNNNNNNNNNNNNNNNNNNNNNNNNNNNNNNNNNNNNNNNNNNNNNNNNNNNNNNNNNNNNNNNNNNNNNNNNNNNNNNNNNNNNNNNNNNNNNNNNNNNNNNNNNNNNNNNNNNNNNNNNNNNNNNNNNNNNNNNNNNNNNNNNNNNNNNNNNNNNNNNNNNNNNNNNNNNNNNNNNNNNNNNNNNNNNNNNNNNNNNNNNNNNNNNNNNNNNNNNNNNNNNNNNNNNNNNNNNNNNNNNNNNNNNNNNNNNNNNNNNNNNNNNNNNNNNNNNNNNNNNNNNNNNNNNNNNNNNNNNNNNNNNNNNNNNNNNNNNNNNNNNNNNNNNNNNNNNNNNNNNNNNNNNNNNNNNNNNNNNNNNNNNNNNNNNNNNNNNNNNNNNNNNNNNNNNNNNNNNNNNNNNNNNNNNNNNNNNNNNNNNNNNNNNNNNNNNNNNNNNNNNNNNNNNNNNNNNNNNNNNNNNNNNNNNNNNNNNNNNNNNNNNNNNNNNNNNNNNNNNNNNNNNNNNNNNNNNNNNNNNNNNNNNNNNNNNNNNNNNNNNNNNNNNNNNNNNNNNNNNNNNNNNNNNNNNNNNNNNNNNNNNNNNNNNNNNNNNNNNNNNNNNNNNNNNNNNNNNNNNNNNNNNNNNNNNNNNNNNNNNNNNNNNNNNNNNNNNNNNNNNNNNNNNNNNNNNNNNNNNNNNNNNNNNNNNNNNNNNNNNNNNNNNNNNNNNNNNNNNNNNNNNNNNNNNNNNNNNNNNNNNNNNNNNNNNNNNNNNNNNNNNNNNNNNNNNNNNNNNNNNNNNNNNNNNNNNNNNNNNNNNNNNNNNNNNNNNNNNNNNNNNNNNNNNNNNNNNNNNNNNNNNNNNNNNNNNNNNNNNNNNNNNNNNNNNNNNNNNNNNNNNNNNNNNNNNNNNNNNNNNNNNNNNNNNNNNNNNNNNNNNNNNNNNNNNNNNNNNNNNNNNNNNNNNNNNNGAGGUUUUUAGCCAAACAUAUUUUUAUAAAGGAAGGUUUUUGUUACAAGAGAUGUGGUUGAGAAGUUAUGGAUGAUUCUUUCCUAGAGAAGUAUCAUUCUAUUUAUACAUGAAAAAGUAAAGGACUAGUAGCCUAAUAAGACGAGACUAGGACAAAGUAACUUUACAAGUGGCUUAGGAUAAGACUAAAGGACGAUGAGUCAUAACUAAGGUACAAUGACUCAUAACUAAGGUACAAAGGUCCAUUAUUAUGGUAUAGUGACUCAUCACUUAAGGUACAGUGACUAAGCACUAUGACUCAUACUAAAGUACAAAAAUACAUUAUGACUUGACUAAGACAUAAAGUUGAUGAAGACUUGACAUAAGGUUGUCUUGAUGUGAAGGCAUCAUUAUCAACUUCUGUGGAGUCUUCUGGAGAAAACUGAAAUUAGCACGCGUAAUUAUACAAUAUUUGGACUGGAGAGGGAAUCUUUUGUCUUGUAGCACCAUCAGUGUCAUCAUUCUGGGAAAUCUUUUGAGAAAUCUUCAAAGUACUGAAGGACUAGAGAAUCAUCUACCCAUCGGAAGAGUUCUUGUUCAAAAUUAUCAGGAGUAGAAUCACAACAUUGGAAUAAGUGAUUGUAAAUUUCUGUGUUCAAAUCUUGCUCGAAGUCUGGAGAGAUCUUCAUCAUUCUGCAGUAAGGAUUUGUUGGAAGUUCUGCUAAUUCUGAAGGACAGUGAAGAUCAAAAUUAACAAGUCUGUGUGAUAAAUCACUCCACCAAGUGUCAUAAGGUGGUUCAGAAUCCAAUGUGCCAGGUGAAUGUGUAAUUCUUGGAUGUAUUCUGGAGGGUACCACACCAUGGUUCUUUCUUGAAAGGAGAAAGUUCUGCAGGGACUGGAAGGUUGUUGAUUUUACAGAGUCUUUUAACAGGAGCUUGUAUUCAUGAGCAUAGAGAAAGAUAGAGUUGUACAGAGAGUAGGGAUUACACACAUACAUGUCUGAACGGGGUUGAAAGAAAACAUAAUCUUCAGAAAGGUCACAAGGUCGGUGGAAGAAGAAGAUAACAUGGUAAUGGGAGGGAAAGUGUUGGGUGAGAGAAAACCAAGUAUGAGGGGUUUAAACCACUUCAAAAGGUUCUAAAUGAACAUGAGCUUCAUGAAGGAAGUCAUUAUUAGUGAAAGUGAUUGUGGCAAAGUUGAGUUCAAAAGAGUUAAACUCAAUGGCAAUGGUGUAGAGUUGGCAUAAGUACCAUAAAAGAACUAAGGCUUCUUUGAAUAAACCUGAGGUAUGAGGGAUCUGAAACAGGUGUAGAAAAAGGGAACUGAGGAUGAAAACCAAUGGGUCUGAGACCAUGAUCACCUCAUUUUCUGAUGAGGAUAGCUUGCAUUUUGUAGAUGAGAUCAUGAGCACGUCUUUCAAGUGUCUUUUUGGCAAUGAUCUGCUGGAUUUCAGAAGGUAGGUUAUGAACUGGAAAAACUGGUUGAAAAUCUGGAUCUGAAACAAAGGGUUUGUAUUUCAGGGUGUAAAGGUAAGGGAAGAGAAAAUGAUUGGUGACCGUUUGAGGAACAGGGUCAAAAGAGGGUAAAGGUAAAGGUAAGGAAGACAUCAUGCAAAAGACUGGAAUAACCUGGAAAGUGUUUGAAGGAGGUUUCGAAGGAGGUCUUGUGAGCAUGUUUGGGAUGAGGUUGUCUUUUCUUUUUAUAUGCCUGGUGGUGAAGAAGUACUGUGAGAACCAUUGUGAUAGCCUGAGUAACUGUGCAUUUGGCAUUUUCUUCUUUUUUGAAAUUGAGCAUCUGAUCAAAGGCUGACAUAUCUAAUUCCACGAGAAAGUGAAAUCCAAUGAGGUGAAAUUCAAAUCUUUGGAUACCAUACUUUACAGCUAAAAUCUCUUUUAGUGUAGAGUGAUAAUGGAGUUUCGAAUCUUUGAAUUUUCUACUUUUGUAACCACAGAUAUGUCUGGUUCCAUCUUUUUCUUCAAGAAAAAUUGCUGACCAGAACUGUUCACUAGCAUCUGUCUGUAAUAUUCUUUUUCCAUCUGAAAGGAAUUUUAAAGUGAGAAGUGAACUUUGCUUUUAACUUCAAGGCUUGUACUGCUUUUGUCUGAUCUGAGAUCACGUGGGAGGUUCUUUUUUGAGCAUUUUGUCUGAGUGGAUAUGUGAGCUGGGGCAAUAUCUAGGAGAAAUUCAUCUCAUGUACGUUGACUAUACCGAGAAAUUGCUGGAUCUGCUUCUUUGAGAGAUUUGCAUCAGAAAAAUCUGUAAGUGACUGCGCAAUAUGAGGUUGAGCAAUGUAUGACCAUCUUUGAGAUGCAUGCCUAAGAAAUCAAUUUUUGUAGCACCAAUGAGCAUCUCUUUCUCUGAAAGCAUUAUCCAUACUGUUGAACUAUGCGCUGGAACUUAUCCAAUAACUGUGCAUGAGAUGUAUCAUCAGGAGAGAACAGUAAGAUAUCAUCGAUGUAAAAUCAAGGCAUUAUCAAGAAUUGGAGCAAAUAUCUUGGUCAUGGCUUUUUGAACAGUGAAAGGAGCAACUUUUAAACCAAAGGCAUUACGGUCCACUGAAAGUGUUAUUGAAGAAUGCAAAACGCCGUUUUGUAUCUGUCCUGUGGAUGUAUACCUAGUUGCCAAAAUCCUGCCUUGAGAUCAAACUUUGAGAAGACUUUUGCAUUUGCUAAAUUUGCGAACAAAGUUUUUCUGUCUGGAAGAGGGAACUUAUCAUCUGCAAGGAAAAUGUUAAGAGGCUUGUAGUUGAUUACCAAUCUGAGUUUUCCACGAACUUGUUCUGAACGUUUGUUGACAUAAAACGCUUCACACGCCCAUGGAGAGGAGGUUGGUUCAAUUAAUCCUUGAGCCUGGAGAAGGGAACAUUCUUGGAUUGCUUGCUUGAAAUGAUCUGGGUUCAUGCCUGAAUGACUAGCUUUUGUAGGAUUGGCAUUUUCAUCUUUCUUGAAGGGAAGGGAAAUGAAAAAUUCAGGGUUUUGCCAAAGUGGGUGAUCACAUUUCUGGAGAAAAUCUGAGUGAGUUUCUGGCACAUGAAAAGUGAAUGAACUUGUGUUUGAAAUCUUGAAAAACAUCUGGUUGAAGGGUAAGGGUAAAGAGGUUGGGAAGGUUUUUCCAAGGUCUGAAAUAACUUUCAAACUUGAAUACCAAUUUCCACUAAGCUUUAAACCUUGGUAUACUGGUAACAAUAUCAAACCAAUAACAAGGUCUUUCUGGGGAAGUGGAGAUCCUAAAAAAUCUUUUGAGUUAUUCGCAGCCUGGAAAGGAUUUGAAGGGUAACAGGGUGCUGAUAAAGUCUGUAAAAAAUACAUUUUCAUCAGCGAUUUUGAAGAAGGUUUUCUGUUUUGUUCGAAAGUGUUUGGGUAAGACAAGAGGGUUUGCUAUGGUUUGGGCUGUACCGGUAUCAAAAAAAGUUGUGACUGUUAUAGGAGGGAAAUGUUUGUGAGUGAAAAUCUGAACUGGAGCUAGGGGUAAUUUUGGAGGUUGAAUGGUUUAGAUUUUUUGAAGUUCUUGAACUGACAUAUACUCAUAAUAUUGAUCAUCUAUGAAAUCAUCUGAGUAUUUUGAGUAAUCUGAAUUUGCAUACUCAUCAUUAUCAAACUGCUUAAUCAUAAACAGGGAUCUUUCAUUCUGCUCAUCAUCAAGGGAGAAAAUUGAUUCAAGAUCAUCAUCUGAGAGAUUGAUACCUGAGAUAUUGGCAAUGUCUUGGAUCAUCUUGAUUGAUUUUUUGUCUGACUUUGGACAGUUCUUUGAGAAAUGUCUUAGUUUUUCACAGAGAAAACAUUUUGAGCUUUUGAUCUUUGGGUCUUUCUUCUUUCUUGCAAAUUUGAAUCUUUGAAAUCUUUUGGGUUUGUCAGCAUAUCUGGAAGAUUUCCUUGUGUCUGGGUCUGGAGAUUUGUGGAGGUCUGGAAGGUCCUGAUUUCUGAAAUGUUUCUUUUUCUUGUUGUUGCAAAAACAUGUGGGAUUUUGGGGGAACAUUUGAUUUGUAAUCCUGAGGAGGAGUAAGAACAGGGCUUUUCAAGCUUUUUAGAGUUGUGCACCAAGGUUUUGAUGUAUUUAUGCUCUUUGCAAAUCUUAUCAAGGGCUUUUAGCAUCAUCUUGUAGAUGUCUCCAAGGGUCAUAGAUUUGACAUCAAGGGAUCUGAGGUUCAACUGGGUUCUUGUUUGCUGGGCAAGUUCUUCUGGAAUAGAAUUAAGAAAUGCUUACUUUAAGUUGACAUCAUCGAAUCCACCAAGUAUGUAGAAAUACUGGGAAAAUUGUUGAUAGUGUCUGUCAAGGUCUUUUGGAUGGAGAGAACAGCAUUUGAGUCUGAAGAAUUGCUCUCUGAUCUUUUCUAAUCUGUGAGUUUUUUAUCCAUAAAAGAUUACUGCAAAUUAAGAGGCAGCGUCUGUGAUUGUUGGGCAUUGAAGAAACUGGAGUUGUCUGUAUUCACCAAUGUUGUCCCAAAAAUUUUUCAGGGUUCCAACUAGUCUGAAAACAAAUCUGAUCAAAACUGUGUUCAUCGUAACAUUGGGAUAAGAAUUCAAUUCAACAAGUCCCCAUGCUAAGAAUUCUUGAAAUCUUGAGGGCCAUUUUGAAGGAGGAACAUCAUCAAUGGUAAAAACUGAGAAUUUUGAUGUUGAAGGAGGAGCAUGUGAUUGUUGUGGAGGAGGGUGUUGUUCAGCAUGCAUUGCAUCAGGGUUAUGAACUUCUGGAGUAUCAUCUGAAACUUCAACUGUUGGUUUUGUCAUGAAAAUCUGAGGGAGCAUCAUUUCAUCUGAAUCAUCAGUAUCAUCUAUUUCAACUGAUUCUUCUGAUUUGAUAGUAUCCAUGUGAGAUUCAUUCUUAAAAGUAGAGGGAAAAAUAUCUUCAAUAGAGAACUGAGGAAGGUUAUCUUGGGCCAUCUGGUGAAGUAUUUCUGGAAGGGUUUGUGUAAGAGAAAUCAUAAGUUGUACAGGUUUUUGGUUUGGUUGUGGUGUAGGGUUUUGAGGUGUGGAACUUGAGCUUGGGUGUGGUUUUGAAGGUUGAAAAAGUGGUUGUUCUGCUACUCUUUUGGGUUUUGGAUCAACUGGUUGUUUUUCUCUAAAUCUGUGAAUCCAUUUUUCAGUUGUACCGAAAGGGGGUUGGUCUGGUUAUUCUGAAAGAGGAGUGAAGUAUUGUGUUGGUUGUGAAGAUGUUGGAAUAGAUGUUAGGGGAGGUUUAUACUGAAAAGGUGUGAAAAAAGGUUUUGGAGGUGAGGUUGGAGGAUUGUAUGGUUGAAAUGAGGGAGGAGUAUAGGCUUGGUAAGGAGUAUCAUGCAUACUAGUAUGAUAUGGUGUGAAGAUGUUGUAACUCGAAGCUGCUUGUUGUUGUUGUUGUUUCUGACGAAACUGGUUUUGAAGGUCUGCAAGUUGAAUCUUUAGGCUCUUCAUUUCUUUCUCUCGUUCAGUGAAAGCAUAAGUGAUACCAGUGUUAUUUUCAACCAUGUAUCUGAGUUCUUGAUCAAGUGUGAUUAUCCUUGACUGAAUUUCAAAAAUAAUAUUCUAGAGAUUGACAAGGCUCUGAUCAAAGUGUUGACUGACUUGGUCCAACUUAUGUUCAAUUCUGUGCAAGUAGGAAUUUUGCUAGAGAGAAUUUUUAGUUUGCCAGUUUAAAACUGCUUCAGCACGAGAAACACUUUUUUGGUUUCCAUAUUCAUCUCUGUCAGUGGGAGUGGGGAUUUUUGGAAUGUGUUUGUAUUGGUCUUUAUGAAAUUCUUCAAAAGGAGGGAAGGUUGAGUUGGGAUAGGUUGGUUGCAUCAUGGAGAUUUAUGGUAAAGGUUGGGUGGAAUCUUGAGAAGAAUUUGGUUUGUGUGUGGGUUGAGUUGAGUAGGUUUGAGAGGGUGGUUUGUCUUUCUUAGGAUAGAUGACAUAGUAGUCAAACUUUCCUGAGGGUUCACCAAGGAGAUCAACUUCAGGGUCUCCGUUUUCAUAUCUUUCUUUGAGCUUUUGCUGAGAAGACUUUUUCUUCUUUUGCUUCUUUGGAAUAUCAUCAUCAUCAUCAUCCAGGAAGCUUUUAUCUGCAUCUAUCUGGCAUUCUUUGCAUUGACAAUUUAUGUCCCAAUAGCAAUGUCCUGUUGGAGAUUUAUAUGCAUACACGGGAUUUCCAUUGGACUGAAAGUGUGUGACUGAAAUAUCAAGGAGAUCAACAUGGCAUCUUUGCAUCAUAAACUAGGUUGGAAAGAUUGUUGGAGGAGGAACAUCUUUUCCUUUGCUAUGAUCAAAUUCAAUUGUGACAGUACCAUCCUGGUUUGUCUUGUAGGUUGGAUCAAAGUGUUUAAUUGGCUCAUCUUGUUUCCAAAAUCUUUUGAUAACUUGUCGUCCACGUCUUUGGGAGAAGGGUGGCAAGUUCUUCAUUGGAAAUCUGCUUUGGAAUAUGAACAUGUUUGGGAGUUCUGUCUGCUGUUUCCAUUUUAACAAAGACUGCAUCACUGGAGUGUGAAAGAGGCAAGUUAAUGGCAUGAUCUUGAACUCUGUAUGCCAUAUAGUAGUGAAGGGUUGCCUGGAGGCCUUUUAUUUUUGUGCCUACGAUCUGGACUUGAACUUUUAAAGCAUCUAACAAGGUUGGAUCAUGAAGAGACAUAUUGUAAUUUGGGAAGACUGUGAAGAAGACAGUUCCUGCAUUGAGGGUCGUCUCGACGAUUUCAAGGACUGCAUGCUUGUAAUAUUUAAAUCUGGUGUCCAAUAAGGUCAUUCUGGUACAGACAGGAAUUCCAUUUCUACCAUGGAAGGUUAAAGCGAUUCUGAUAGCACCAAAGUGGAUGUGAAUGUAUUCUUGUUCUGACCACUGGUGAUGAAAUUUUUCUGGGAUCUGAAGAGUAACAAAGUGCUCUUGGGGUCCUGCUGGAAGAAUACAUUGAUCAAAGUUUGUGGUUUGAACAUAUUCUUUUGGAGCUGGAUAUUUGGGUUUUAAAAGAGUUUUUAAAGAUCUAGUAAGAGAAGGAGAGGAGUUUGAGAAAGCUGUAUAGGGAUUUACAAGGGGUAAGACUGUUUGUUGGGUUUUCCUUUCUUCUGGAAUAUAAUCUACUUCAUAUAAGAACUUAAGCUUAGAAGAGGAGGAUUUUUUAAGUACAGGAGAUGGAGGAGAGGAUAAACUAAAAGAAGAUCUGGAGGAAGAAGGUUGAGAACUAGAGUUGCUAAGAGUGGAUAGAUCCAUGAAAGUAAGACUCUCUUUUGGCUUUUCCUUUUCCAAUUUUUCAAUAAUCAAAUCUUUUAGAAACAUACUUUUCUUCUCACUAUCUUGGCAAGUUGUUAGGCCUGAUACCAUUUAUACACACAUAGCUCUUUUAUACAUACAUAGCUCUGAUACCAUUUAUACACAGCGGCAGAUAGUACGACCAAGGCUCUGGCAACUGACACGGCUUCAGUUCCGGGCUCUCCGGGUGGUAGAGUCCUGACAAUACUAUCUGGUACUAUGACAACAGCGUGAAGAUCGAUCAAACUUGGCAAGAUAAUACCAACGAUAGGCUUUUCAUAGCUCAGACAUAUAACCAAGGUAUUCUAGCCGGUGUUCAAGACUUUGGUGCCUUUUUGGCUUAACGUCAAACUGGGAGCCUGACUUUUAUGGAGAUAUGUCUUUCACUAUAGUAAUUUAUUAUUAGUAUGAUCUUGAAGCGGUAUGACUUUUCUUUAGCUGAGAAAAAGGGAUCAAUGAUCCGUUUAACAUAUUAACAAGAGUUUCUGUUGCAGAGGAUCCAUAAUAAUAUGGCAACUGCAGAGCAUACUCAACUUGUAUCACUGUAAACUUUUGAAUAGAUUGAAGAGAAGGAGGAAGCUAAAAAGAUGUAACUAUGAAAAAAGGAAGAUGGAAUCACCAAAAGAGAAAAGAGAUUUUUAGCCAAACAUAUUUUUAUAAAGGAAGGUUUUUGUUACAAGAGAUGUGGUUGAGAAGUUGUGGAUGAUUACUUCUUAGAGAAGUAUCAUUCUAUUUAUACAUGAAAAAGUAAAGGACUAGUAGCCUAAUAAGACGAGACUAGGACAAAGUAACUUUACAAGUGGCUUAGGAUAAGACUAAAGGACGAUGAGUCAUAACUAAGGUGCAAUGACUCAUAACUAGGGUACAAAAGUCCAUUAUUAUGGUAUAGUGACUCAUCACCAAAGGUACAGUGACUAAGUACUAUGACUCAUACUAAAGUACAAAAAUACAUUAUGACUUAACUAAGACAUAAAGGUGAUGAAGACUUGACAUAAGGUUGUCUUGAUGUGAAGGCAUCAGUAUCAACUUCUGUGGAGUCUUCUGGAGAAAACUGAAAUUAACACGCGUAAUUAUACAAUAUUUGGACUGGAGAGGGAAUCUUUUGUCUUGUAGCACCAUCAUUUGAGAGAACGUUGAGUGUGUUCUAGAGAGAGGUUGAGGUGUGAAUUAUCUGCGCCAAGGGUGAAAUCAUAGCCGAGGUUGACUAACCAUUGAUCUGGAUCAAAAUCAUCAAAUGGGUCUUGAGAAUCUUGUUGCCAUUCCAUUUGUGGGAGAACUUCAGGAGGUUUCCAAUAAGGAUUCCAUUCUACUGGGCCUGCAUGGUCUAGUUCAAAUCUGGUAGUUUCAGAAAGAGGUUCUGUCCAAGUACCAUCAAGGCGAGUUUCAUAAAUCUUUUUAUCAAUGUUGAGCUGGUAAGUGUACUCUGAAGGAUAGUUUCCCCACGGAACUUCAUCUUGGAUCUUUGGCCAAUUUUGCUUUGGAAACUUGUGAUUCAUUUCACAAAUUUAUCGCUGGAAUUCAAUGUAUUCAACUGGGUGAUCAAACUGAGAAUCAAACAGCGAAUAUCCUUGAGAGCUGUAAAUUGCUGCAUAGGGGAAAUACCGAGGGUCUUUUGUCAAACUGCUGCAAGAUCUAUGAAAGAUUAAAACAAUAUGAGGAUCAGGAAGAAUUUUUGUAUAUCUCUCAUAGGUUUCAAUCCAUUGGAUCCAAAUAGGAAUGGGUCUGAACCAGGUGAAGAAAAUCUUGAGAUGUUGUUGACUGGGGUCUAACUGGUGUUUAGAAGGGUUGAUGGUUGACUGGUGAAAAAGGUGAAGAAGGGUUUUGAGCUUUGGAAGGGGAAAUUCUAUACCAAUAUAGUAAAGGUGACAAAGGUACCAUAUAAAACAAACUGUUUCUUUUGGGAAACAAAGAGGUUCAGGGAAUUUAAAGGGAUGGAUAAAGGGAUAUUCAGGGUGUAUACCAAGAGAUUGAAAAGAGGUGUCUCCAAACUUUCUGAGUGUUUUGGACUGAUAUUUGAGUAAAAGGUAUGAGGCUUUUUGGUUAAGGGUUUGAGUGGCAAGAAGUCUGGAUAACUCUGGAGGAAGAUUUUUUACUGGAAGGUUAAGGAAUUCAUCAGGUAGAUCAAAUUCAUCAUCAAGGUGAGGUUUUUGAGAAGAGGGAAAAAGAGGGUUGGUUGAAGAAGAGGCUUGUGAAGAAGGAGGUGUUGGGUUCAUCAUGGAAAUGACUGGAAUAACCUGGAAAGUGUUUGAAGGAGGUUUCGAAGGAGGUCUUAUGAGCAUGUCUGGGAUGAGGUUGUCUUUUCCUUUUAUAUGCCUGGUGGUGAAGGAGUACUGUAAGAACCAUUGUGAUAGCCUGAGUAACUAUGCAUUUGGCAUUUUCUUUUUUUGAAAUUGAGCAUCUGAUCAAAGGCUGACAUAUCUAAUUCCACGAGAAAGUGAAAUCCAAUGAGGUGAAAUUCAAAUCUUUGGAUACCAUACUUUACAGCUAAAAUCUCUUUUAGUGUAGAGUGAUAAUGGAGUUUCGAAUCUUUGAAUUUUCCAUUUUUGUAACCACAGAUAUGUCUGGUUCCAUCUUUUUCUUCAAGAAGAAUUGCUGACCAGAACUGUUCACUAGCAUCUGUCUGUAAUAUUCUUUUUCCAUCUGAAGGAAUCUUUAAAGUGGGAAGUGACUUUGCUUUUAUCUUCAAGGUUUGUACUGCUUUUGUCUGAAUCUGAGACCACGUGGGAGGUUCUUUUUUGAGCAUUUGUCUGAGUGGAUAUGUGAGCUGGGCAAUAUCUGGGAGAAAUUCAUUCAUGUAGUUGACUAUAUCGAGAAAUUGCUGGAUCUACUUCUUUGAGAGAUUUGCAUCAGAAAAAUCUGUAAGUGACUGAGCAAUAUGAGGUUGAGCAAUGUACUGACCAUCUUUGAGAUGCAUGCCUAAGAAAUCAAUUUCUGUAGCACCAAUGAGCAUCUUUUUCUCUGAAAGCAUUAUCCCAUACUGUUGAACUAUGUGCUGGAACUUAUCCAAUAACUGUGCAUGAGAUGUAUCAUCAGGAGAGAACAGUAAGAUAUCAUCGAUGUAAAUCAAGGCAUUAUCAAGAAUUGGAGCAAAUAUCUUGGUCAUGGCUUUUUGGAACAAUGAAGGAGCAACUUUUAAACCAAAAGGCAUUACGGUCCACUGGAAGUGGUGUUGAGGAAUGCGAAACACCGUUUUGUAUCUGUCUUAUGGAUGUAUACCUAGUUGCCAAAAUCCUGCCUUGAGAUCAAACUUUGAGAAGACUUUUGCAUUUGCUAAAUUUACGAACAAAGUUUUUCUAUCUGGAAGAGGGAACUUAUCAUUUGUAAGGAAAAUGUUAAGAGGCUUGUAGUUGAUUACCAAUCUGAGUUUUCCACGAACUUGUUCUGAACGUUUGUUGACAUAAAACGCUUCACACGCCCAUGGAGAGGAGGUUGGUUCAAUUAAUCCUUGAGCCUGGAGAAGGGAACAUUCUUGGAUUGCUUGCUUGAAAUGAUCUGGGUUCAUGCCUGAAUGACUAGCUUUUGUAGGAUUGGCAUUUUCAUCUUUCUUGAAGGGAAGGGAAAUGAAAAAUUCAAGGUUUUGCCAAAGUGGGUGAUCAUAUUUCUGGAGAAAAUCUGAGUGAGUUUCUGCACAUGAAAAGUGAAUGAACUUGUGUUUGAAAACUUGAAAAACAUCUGGUUGAAGGGUAAGGGUAAAGAGGUUGGGAAGGUUUUUCCAAGGUCUGAAAUAACUUUCAAACUUGAUACCAUUUCCACUAAGCUUUAAACCUGGUAUACUGGUAACAAUAUCGAAACCAAUAACAAGGUCUUUCUGGGGAAGUGGAGAUCCUAAAAUCUUUUGAGUUAUUCGACAGCCUGGAAGGAUUUGAAGGGUAACAGGAUUGCUGAUAAAGUCUGUAGAAAAUACAUUUUCAUCAGUGGUUUUGAAGAAGGUUUUCUGUUUUGUCCAAAAGUGUUUGGGUAAGACAAGAGGGUUUGCUAUGGUUUGGGCUGCACCAGUAUCAAAGAAAGCUGUGACUGUUAUAGGAGGGGAAUGUUUGUGAGUGAAAAUCUGAACUGGAGCUAGGGGUAAUUUUGGAGGUUGAAUGGUUUGGAUUUUUUAGAGUUCUUGAACUGACAUAUACUCAUAACAUUGAUCAUCUGUGAAAUCAUCUGAGUAUUCUGAGUAAUCUGAAUUUGCAUACUUAUCAUUAUCAAACUGCUUAAUCAUAAACAGUGAUCUUUCAUUCUGCUCAUCAUCAAGGGAGAAAAUUGAUUCAAGAUCAUCAUAUGAGAGAUUGAUACUUGAGAUAUUGGCAAUGUCUUGGAUCAUUUUGACUGAUUUUUUGUCUGACUUUGGGCAGUUCUUUGAGAAAUGUCCUGGUUUUCCACAGAGAAAACAUUUUGAGCUUUUGAUCUUUGGAUCUUUCUUUUUUCUUGCAAAUUUGAAUCUUUGAAAUCUUCUGGGUUUGUCAGCAUAUCUGGAGAAUUUCUUGUGUCUGGGUGUGGAGAUUUGUGGAGGUCUAGAAGGUCUGAAUCUUCUGAAAUGUUUCUUUUUCUUGUUGCUGCAAAAACAUGUGGGAUCUUUGGAGGAACAUUUGAUUUGUAAUCCUGAGGAGGAGUAAGAACAGGGCUUUUCAAGCUUUUUGGAGUUGUGCAUCAAGGUUUUGAUGUAUUUAUGCUCUUUGCAAAUCUUAUCAAGGGCUUUUAGCAUCAUCUUGUAGAUGUUUCCAAGGGUCAUAGAUUUGACAUUAAGGGAUCUGAGGUUCAACUAGGACAUCUAGGAAACUUAUAUUUCUAAAAAAAUUAUAAAGUAUGAAAUAUCUGAUGAUUAUAAUUGAUGAAGGUGUUCUUGUUCUAUCUACAUCUGUAAUUUGACUAUUGGCCCAACAAUUUGGGCUCAAAUUGGCCUAGCAGGCUGGCACUAAAUGGGUUUCUCUACUUAUAAAUCAUACCAAAGCCCAAAUAGUUUUUACUUUUUCCCGUAAGAAUGCAGGAAAGUAUCUCAUAUUUAAUUAUCUACCAAAUUCCAAUAACAAGCUAAACUUAUUUCUUAUGACAUUAUCAACCCAGCUAUGUUGUGUCACUGUAAACUUUAUAAAAGUGCAUUUUUAAGGUUUAAAGUGAUGAGUGGUUUUCAAACUGAAAUAUUUAAUAUAAUAUUUAAAUUUUUUAAAAAAUAUUAAUGUGAAAUUUAAAAUAUAAAUAUAUAAACUAAAGUGUUAUUCAUUUAACGUGAUUAAUUUUUAAUUAGGAUACAUUUAACUAAAGUGUUUUGGUGUUUGUCAACAACUAGAUUAAACUUUGUCGCUUUUUAAACAAAAUUCCAAUGGUUCAUUUCAAGGAAUACACACAACAGUUUCUCUUUACUUUCCCUCACAAAAUGAGAAAAGCAAAUUUGUCGCCAUUCCUUUGACCGUUGGGGGGGUCCCAUAGUUCUAUUGGGACCCAUCUCAGAGACUGCCACGUACAUCUUUACAGCUAGCCCAGCCAGAGGUGCACGACAGCACCUCAAACAACCAGCUUAUUGAAUUUGUAACUGGAUUUCAAUACCGCAUGAGCCGUUUUAAAACCGUUAGAUUAAUGGUUUAUCAGCGACAAAAUCUAACAGAUGUCGGCGUUACGUCAGGGCCCCCGGCCUGAUUCCACGUCUUGAAGAAGUCAAAUUUUGGAGCUCUGACUUUUAUUUUGUGCGUUGCAUCAUAACUGAAACCUAUGAGGAAGAUUUAGAAAAUUUUUAAUUCAAAAAUUGUGGUGAGGUGUUUGUCCUAAAAAAAGAUGUAAGUUUUUUUUUAAUUAUAAUUAUAACCAAGUUUUAUAUUUAUAAGAUAAAUUAAAUAUUUUAAUUAUUAUAUUAUAAUUAAAUUAUAAUAAUUAAUUAAUUAAUUAUAAUUAGAUAAUUAAUCUCAAACAUAAUGAAAUUUAAAUUUAAUAUCUUAAGAUUUUAGAAUUUUUUUUACUAAUAAACCAAAGCCUUACUGAUAAAAAAGGGAAGUUAAUGCUUAAUACAACUAUGACAAACAAUUAAAUGAUUUAAGUGAAGUUUUAAAAAAAAUUAAAAAAUUAAGUGAAAUUCAAUAUCAAAUAAAAAGAUAUUAGAAAAAGUUUAAAAUUAAAAAAGAAAAUCACUUAGUUGUUAGACUUCAUUAAAUAAAAAAUUAAAUGUAUGAAGGUUUUUUUUUUUUUAUAACCAUUUGUAUAUUUUUAAAUUUUAAUGUUUUAAAAUUUGAAAUUUAAUUUAGAUGAUUUAUAUAAUUAUUUUUCAAAAGUGAUAUUAGUGUGAUUUAAGAUACAAAUUUUAGUAUUUAUAAUUUCAUUUUUUAUUUUUAAAUACAAUCUUCUUUGCAUCCAGAAAAUUUUUAAUGUUUUAUUAAAAUCAACAUUUGGGUUAAAAUUUCAAAGUAGGGAAGGCAAUAGUAUAAACAACAGUCCAAUGUAGACAAAGCAACAAGUACAAAAAAAAAUGGACAUUUUACACUGUUCAAUCCAUUAAAUAAGAUUAGGAAACCUUAUAAGAAUAGCGUCUAUUAAUUAAUUGUGGAUCGUUAAUUAUAAUGCAGGAAUUAUAAAGUGAUAAUAUAUGCUCCCACUGUUAAUAACCUUAAGAUACUCCCAUUAUUAUUAGCCUUUAAGAUACUACUUACUCAAACUUGAUUGGAGACAAUUAGCUUUUUAAUAUUUAUAUUAUUUUUAACGUGUAUAUUACUAAUACUGGUAAAUUUAUUUUAUUAAAUUCUUAAUUAUCUAAUUAUAAAAUAAUUUUGAACUUAUGUAUUCCAUUUAAAAUAAUAAAAUUAUAUAAGUUAUUAAUUAAGUUCGGAUCUAGAUAUAUCAAGAUUAGCUAUAGCCUCACAGAUGAAAGUAAAAUUGAUUCAUUUGUUUAAAAAUAUUUAUUUUAGUUAAUUUCGAAUCAAAUUAUUUAAAAUUAAAUUAAUUUAUUAAUAUUAUUUUAUUUUUGUUAAUUAAACUAAAUUUUAAUUUCAAAAAUUAAAUAAUAAAAAUAAUUCGAUUAAUUUUUUUGAUUAAUCAAAUAAUAAAAUAUAUUAAAUUAAAUUAAAUUUUAAAUUCUUAAUUUUUUAUAUUUAAAAUAAAUUAAAUAAAAUUAUCUAACAAAAAAUGCAAUUAUUAAAUUAUUAAAUUAAAAAUUUUAAUAACUUAAACUAAAAUAGAUAAUUUCAUAUAUUUUUAAUUAUAUAUAAAUUUUAUUAUAUUUCAAUUAAUUCAAAUUUUGAAUUAAACUAAUAAAAGAAUUCAAAAAUUUUUUAAAUUAUUUUUAAUAAUCAAUCAAAAUUAAUUUAAUGAAUAAUCGAUUAACUUAAUUAAAUUAAUUAAAAUCUAAUUUUGAACAUUUUUACAUUUACCCAAUUCUCCCUUUUAUUUUUAUUUUUUCUUUGGUAAGUUUGAAAAUUGAACUAAAAUCGAGGGAUUAGGUGAUAUUUUUAUUUCCUUCUUAAUAAUUAAAAAAUAUUUUUUUUUCGUAUGGACGUAAAAUUAAUUAUUAUCCUGAUUUGUAUUUCUUCCUAAAUAGAAACGCUUUUCAGUUAACCUACAGCCAGGUGUGAGUCAUUAGAAGCUGCACACUCUGUCGGUUGCGCACGCAGCCAGUAACCCAAGCCACGUGCCUUUUCCACCCCGCGACUCCCAUGUACAAAUAUAACUUCCUCCAAGGUGACGUGGCUCGAACUUAUAAAAAAAAAAAAAAAAGGUUCAUAAAAGCAUAACUCCACUCUGCCACAUUACACGCUCCAAUAUCUGAGACCACAGAACGUCAAACCCCUAGUCCUCACUCCCCUCACCAUCUUGUCCGGACCGUUACUUCCGGUGAAGCUGCUCCCAAAGCCAUCUUGAUGCUUCCAAAAUGCUCCCCGAAAUCCCCUUGUUCUCCCCACUUCAGCUCCCCUAUUUCCUCCCCUAACAAAACCAAAACCCCCCAACUGAAUUCAAUCGAACGCAAAAACUUCUUCAACUCCCUCCAUUUGCAGCCUUAUUUCUUCUUACCCAACCAUAAUCGCUUAUGGCUGCUCUUAUUCAUCAUCUCACUCCAGAUAAUCAUCCUCCUCAUGGCUCGCGCUGUUCCUCUCACCCAUCGCCGAACCCACUUCCCUUCCCCCUUUUCCGCCAGUCAUUACCUCCUCCAAAAAUCGGCUAACAUUUCAUCAACCUUUUUCUCUUCCUCCCACCACCUAAAAUCCGCCAACAUUUCGGUUUCCCCCACUGUUUCACCAUCUGACCAGUGUUCGUCCGGUCGUAUAUUUGUCUACAACUUGCCGGCUGUUUUCAACGAAGAGUUGUUAGAUAAUUGCGCUGAGUUGGACCCAUGGCAUUCACGUUGCCAAGCUUUAUCAAACGAUGGAUUCGGAAGAAAAGCCACGGGAUUAUCCGGCGUCGUACCGAAGGAUUUGAUCCCAGCAUGGUACUGGACCGACCAGUUCGCCAUGGAAAUUAUUUACCACAACCGUAUUUUAAACCACAAGUGUCGUACGAUGGAGCCGGAUUCCGCGACGGCGUUUUACAUCCCGUUUUACGCGGGACUCGCCGUUGGAAAAUACUUAUGGUUUAAUUAUAGUUCAAAAGAUCGUGAUAGUUACUGCGAUAUGAUAUUGAAGUGGGUGCAGGAUCAACCAUACUGGAACAGUUCCGACGGCUGGAAUCAUUUCAUGACGAUGGGGCGGAUCACAUGGGAUUUCCGGCGGUCCAAAAACGAAGACUGGGGCUCCGGAUGUAUCUACAUGCCAGGUAUGAGAAACAUCACGCGUCUAUUGAUCGAACGAAACGCCUGGGACUAUUUCGACGUCGGUGUGCCCUACCCCACCGGAUUCCACCCCAGAUCAGACUCCGAUGUGCUGCAAUGGCAGGACUUCGUCCGUAACCGUGACCGCAAAACCCUCUUCUGCUUUGCCGGAGCGCCACGUGGCACCGUCAAGGACGAUUUUAGAGGCUUGCUAUUGAGCCAUUGCAAGAACGCGUCGGGGUUAUGCCGGGCCGUGGACUGUGCUGGUUCCCGCUGCUCCAACGGCACUUCGGCGAUCCUCGAGACAUUUUUAGAUUCUGAUUUUUGCUUGCAGCCGAGAGGCGAUAGUUUCACCCGCAGGUCCAUUUUCGACUGCAUGGUGGCCGGUUCGAUCCCCGUUUUUUUCUGGCAUCGAACGGCAUAUCUUCAGUACCAAUGGUUUUUACCAAGUAAUCCUAAGAGUUACUCUGUUUUUAUCCACCGCAACGAGGUGAAAAACGGAACAUCUAUUAAAAGCGUGCUUGAAAGUUACAGUAAAGAAGAGGUGAGGACGAUGAGGGAGAAAGUGAUUGAAUAUAUUCCCAAGUUAGUUUAUGCAAAACCUGAAAAGGGUUUGGAGAGUAUGAAGGAUGCAUUUGAUGUUGCUAUUGAUGGUGUGUUGAAGAGAAUUAAGGAGCAACAGCAGCCUGGGUACAAGUGGAAAUAAUGAUUUGCAAUUGCAAGCAGUUGAUGGUUGAAAAAAUAUAUAUAUGGACAAUUAAGUUUGCAGAAUAGAUUUUUUUAUAUAUAUAAAAAAAGAAUGGAACAGGGGCAUUUCAUGUCUAUUCUUUCCCGACAUUGUUGUAUUUGUAUUUUUGUUUGCAUAUAAUAAUAAUAACAUAGUAAUAUUUUUUAUGGAUGUUCUAUUGAAGGGUGAUUGCAGAUGUAAAUUGUUGGUUGCAGAGAAAUAUAGAUGAGUUUUAGAGCUAUUACUGGUGCGGCAGUAGGGGAGUUUUUACAGUUGAAGCGGUAAUGAUUGCUUCUGGCCUUUUACAGAAGGAAGAGAAUCAUGAGAUAUUGAGAAAGAACCACCGAGUUUGGAGGUGGUCCUGUAAUUUGUACUGGCUGAAGGAGUGAAUACGAUUGGCCCGAUGAGGAUGGAUGGAGUGGGGACAAGCAUGGGAGGACAGCUGAGAUUUGUGGGAAGCAUGUGUAAUUUGUUGUUCCUAAUAUUGAUAUGGACAGCAUAAAUAUCAUGUGUAAUUAUGGUUUUUGUUCAUUAAUGUCCCAUUUAAAUGAAAUAAUGCAAAUUUAUGAUGAGUUCAAUUGAUAAGUAUGGUAUAUAUGCUCCACAAUCUUCAUUUUUACUAUAAAUUUUUUUUCUUUCCUGGAGUUUUUCCAGUCUAAUCUAGUCGAAGAUUAUUAGAAUUGUUUUAGGCCUUUCCCUUGAUCGUUCGUUUUCUUUGUUUGGUUUCAUUGUUUAAGACGUAGUGGCAGCAGCAUAUUGUGCAAAUGACACAAUUUGUCUGCAGCAGCACCAACGCUGAAGACCCAAACCAGCUGACGUUGGAAACAGAAUCGUUUUUGUUAGGGAAAAAUAACAGCUAUGCAACAACCACGUACAAAAUAACAAGCUCAAAUCAAGAAUAAGAACACACACAUAAUCCACUAAUAAAUAAAUCUUUAUACCUGUUAGACUUUUAGAAUAAAAAAAAUCUCCUAAAACUUCUUACUCAAAACUUAACCAAAAACUCUCAAAAACUCAAUUACACCCUUUAAUAGGGUACUUACUUAGCUAUUCUAUUGGUGUCUAACUCUCUGGGAUUAUCAAACUAAAACUAAAAUAUCUUAUUUAUAAGGGUGAAACCCCUUAUACUUUUAUUAAACUCCCGAUGUGGGAUACAAGACAAACUCAAACUCACAUAACUUUCGAUGUGGGAUUUUGAGAUUCAAGGCAAAUCCCAACAAAUCUUCCCUUGACUUGAAUCUUCAAACACUUCAAUGGUAUCUGCAAAGCUAACACGCUUAUCUUUUUUCUUUUCUUUCAUCACAGGCAUCUCAGCAACUGAGCCUCCAUCAAACAUGUACAAAUGAUCAUUGACCCUAUUUUCUUAUAGAAUCACACUACCAUUUUUGUACACUUUCAACCAAUCAUUACUAUAAUAAUAUGUGUACCCCUGAGAAGCUAACUCACCCAAAGCAAUCAAUCAAAUUGUAGUGACAACUUGGUACAUACCUUACAUGACGAACCAUCGAAGCAUCCUAAUAACACCAUCGUGAGAUCUAAGGCGAACAUUCUCAAUGCCUUGAAUCUACACCUUUUUUUUGUUAGCAACCACAAUAUCUCCAUACUUUUCAUUCUCAUUCAACUCCACAAAGUAACUCCUAUCAUUGCAAACAUGAACUGUAGCAGCUGAAUCUAAAAUCCAACUUUUAUCACUUUUCAAAGUCUGAGUCUCAUCCACACAAGUUAUCAAAACAACAUCAUCAUCAUCAAACACGACAAUAGCAAUAUCACUCUUUUCUUCAUCUGAUUUUUUCUCAUCAUUCGCCUUUUUGAAAGCAGCCAUAUGCCUUCUCAGCUUCUUGCAGUGCACUUGGAUAUGUCUCUUCUCACCACAAUAAUAACAUUCUACAUCACUGUAAUCACUGUCUCUUGACUUAGAUCUCUAUCUUGAUUCAUCAAUCCUCUUUUGAGUCAUUCCACGAUCAAAACCCUUUACAGUUAGUGUACUCCCCCUAGGUGAUGACCUAUGAGCUCUCAUAAACCUUUCAUUCUCACGCAACAAAACAAUCACAUCAUCCAACUUCAAAGUAAACCUGUCUACCAACACAGUCUGAACUAAAAAUCUCUAAGACUUGGACAAAGAUGACUGCAAAAUUAAAGCCUUCUCUUCAUCUUUAACUCAUCAAUAGAAAUUGCUAGCAAUUGAGAAACCAAUCUAUUAAACUCAUUCAGGUGAUUAUGAAGAUUCAUACUUUCUUCCAUCUUCAAAGAAUACAGAUCCAUCUUCAAACAUAAUCUAUUAGUUAACGACUUCGAAGCAUAAAUACCUUCAAGCUUAUCUCACAAACUUUUCAGAGUACUCUCAGUCAAUACACUUUACUUUAUUUCUGGAGCUAACGUCAAUCUAAUAGUACUAACAACAUUCUUUUGAAUCCUAUUCCAAUUAGCAUCAGACAUUUCUUCAGGUUUACUACUCUCUAAUGCCUGAUCCAACCCUUGUUGUACUAACAGAUCUUGAAUCAUACUUUGUCAUAACAUAAAAUUACUCUUUCUAUCAAAUAACGAAAUCUCAAACUUAGGCAUAGACAUACCAGACAUAUCUUCUUCAGACAUCUUGAAGCAGGAAACACUGCUUCAUGAUCUUUUAAGCCCACGAACCUUAAACCUCGAAUCUCGCUCUGAUAUCACUUGUUGGAAAAACAACACCCACACGCAGCAACCACACACAAAAUAGUAAGCUCAAAUCAAGAAUAAGAACACUUGUUCGGCCCAACUAAAAAUGGCCUACUCUAAACACAAUCCACUAAUAAAUAAAUUUUUACAACUGUGAGACUUUUAGAAUGAGAAAAGUCUCCUAAAACUCCUUACUCAAAACUUAACCCAAAACCCAAUUACACCCUUUAAUAGCCUACUCACGUAGCUAUUCUAUUGGUAUCUAACUCUCUAUGAUUAUCAAACUAAAACCAAAACAUCUUAUUUAGGUGAAACUUUUUAUACUUUUACUAAACUCUCAAUGUGGGAUACAAGAUAAAUUCAAACUCACUUAACUUUCGAUGUGAAAUUCUGAUAUUCAAGUCAAAUCCAUAGUUUUCUCAAAUUGGCUUAUGAUUGGAAUUGGAAGAAGACAGUGAAACAUAUUCAAAAGAGCUUAUAUAAUAUAUAAGAACCUGAAUAUCUUUAAUGAUAGGCCUUUUCAGGUGAAAAAGGGCAUAACAACAAGGAAUAUCAAUCUUUUCUUUUGUUACUUUCUCAAAAAUUUUUUCCUUUCCCUCGAGCCACUAAGCAUUGCUCUUCUUUUAUAUACUUAGAAAAAUAUUGUAGGCCAUGGACAAGGAGAAAGCGGCAUGAGUUUUUCUAAUUAAGUUACAUUCAAACCAAAAAAAAAUAAAAAAAAUAAAAUGACAAUGUCUCUGAUCGUGGAAUCAUUCUUGUUGAAGCAACAAUGCAAUUUGGUAGGGCAAGCAACAAUAAGUACUAUACGAACAUAAUUAAUUUUACAGCAGGAUAUAGUUUAAGACAACCGAGGUGUGGAGUUUAGAUCAAUUUCAAUUUUCAACUUUCAUCAGGAAAAAAAGAGAGUAGAAAAUACAUGUGAUACUGUUAUAUGACACCACACGCAAAUCAUCAUCGGCGACGAUCAAGGAUAGAAACCCUUGAACUGCAUCAGCAUCUGUUAUUGUUAUAACUAAAAUUAAAUUAUUUCAACUGGUGGGUCAGGGUGAAAUUUAUGUUGAAACAUGUUGAACGCGACUCCUAGCUAUGGCUAUAAUGCCAUGAGAAGUUUUUGCUCCAAUAGGACCGUGACUACUGACUAGUGAGUGGCACUCAAAUGCUUAGCUUCUCCACAAAAUGUUGCAUUAACUUGUUAAAAAAAAAAAGAUAAAAAAAGGUCAUGAAUUAGUAGUUCAAGAUUUGGUUUAGAAGUUGCUAUUACCAGCACUUCAUUUGGUAGAUUAGGGGAAAAGAACUGCCUCCCGUGCCUUUGGUUUCAACUAAACUCGAUUAUCCUUGGGCUAUAAGCAGAAAAUGAAAUCAUUUAAUUAUAUGUCUAAUCUUGAUAAAUGAAAUCAUGUAGCCAAAUUUUGUAAUAGUUCUUUCUGCUCCUAUUUGAUAAAAAGAUAAAAUGAAAUAAAAUGUGAUCCAUAUAAAUUAGGAUGGUAAUCUUCCCUUCCCAUACUCUUAUCCAUACAUGAACACUAAAAGUAUCGAUGGAACUGAAUUCAUUACCAACAAUUCUUAUAAUCCCUUUUUUAUGUUGUUUUCUGUCAAUUUUCUUUUUUAUUUUAAUUCGUGAAUAUCAAUUUUCUCAAUAAUUCAGAAUUUCUAUUGAUUUCUUUUGUCCAAUUUCUGAUGAAUAGACAUUUCAGUAGCAUCUUAUUGGAUAAGAUGCUAAUAAUUGAGUGGUUUUGAUGCACUUCCUCUAUUAAAUGAUACUUUUUUUUCUUUCAUUUUCUCUGAAACGUUCAAACAAAAGCAAAGCUUUGCAUGAACUAUUGAACAUUACAAAAUUACACACCUGUUUACUGACUCUUGCUUUUCAGAGAACCAUGCAUCGAAAAAGGCCCCAAACUCCUGACCACACAGAAACCUUAUAAUCUUUUCCCUAAUUUCAAUUAACCCCAACAAAUGGCUCGUCUUAACCAUUAUCACAGUAUAUAUUAUUCUUUCUCCUUCAAGUAUUUCUCAUCCUUUUUUCUUCAUGAUGGCUGGGACUACCGCGAUAUUGGUGUUCCUUACCCUACUGGAUUUCACCCAAGACCUGUUUUUGACUGCAUGCAUGGUGGCUGGUUUAAUCCCAGCAUUCUUUUGGAAACGGGAAAAGGUAAUAUUAAAUAUAUUCCAAAGCUUUUUUAUGCAAAAUCUCUAAAGGCCUUGGAGAGUACAAGAGAUGCAUCUGGUGUGGCUGUUGAGGGGGCGUGAAGAAGAUUCAAGAGGCCAAGGAAUUAAAGAUGUUGCUAAUUUCAAUUUUUCUUCGAUUUGUUGUACCGUUUUUUUACCGGAUAGAAUUCAUAAAAUCCAUCUACAACUACAUAUCCAAAAGCAAGUAGCCGAAUCUAGAGUUCAAGUCAAUUUAUUUAUGUAAUCAUUCUUAAAAAUUAUCAAAUAAAUUUACAGUUUGAAUUUUAAUGCGUAUAGUUUCUUUCUAAUCUCAUGAUACACCUCUUAUAUUAAAAAAAAAAAAAAAGCAAGUAGGAAAAUUUGAUUUGUUACAAGAGUCAGGAGAAGCGGUUGUCCUCUAGCUUUUAACUUCAGGCUGUGCAUUUCUUUUGGUUGGAAUUGGGGAUCAUAUAUACUUAUACUAGAGUGAAACCCACAUUUCGUUGUGGAUUUUAAUUUUGUGGAUUUUAAUUUUUUAUUAUUGUUAUAAAUAAGUAUGGUAAAAAAUUUACAAAACCUGUGAUAUUUAAAGAAAAUUUUGUAAGUUAUCAAUUGAUAAAUAAAAUAAUUAAUUUUUAGAGCAUUUGAAGUUUUUAAGGUACAUCAAAAAAAAUUAUUAUUAGUCUAUAAUUUGAGGGGAUCCAUCUUUGCAUUCUCUGGCAACUGAACCUCCUCAAAAUCUUGCCAUUGCUCCUCUCGAUCCUAUGUCAAGUGUCAUUCUUAUUUUCUUGUUCUCUGCUUCUCUCGUCAUUGAUUUGUAGCACCUUACCUUCUUCAACUUCCACUUUCACCUCUUCUUUCUUCAGCCCUGGAAGGUUAACCUUGAAUAUGUGAGCCUCUGGGGUCUCUUUCCAAUCUAUCCUGGUAUUGGCAAUUGCAGAGGUUUCACAUGAAGACGAAGGGGCGUUGAAUAAUGAACUAGUUUCACACCUUCAAAAAGAUCCCAUAUGUCUAAAGAGAAUAGAUCAAAGACGUUGAAAAAGCUUGGAAUCAUAGCCAUUGUUGUUGAUGGGAUUCUUGGCUUAAAGUUGAUUUUUUGAUGAUAGAGGAGAGCAGAGAAAAGAUGAUUUAAAUAAAGAGAUGAUGAUGACUUUGGUAGAUUAUGGGAUUUACCUGGCAUCUCCAAAGUAAAAGCUAUAGUUUUUUAGUACACUAUUAGUGUAUAGUCCAAAAAUGAAUAACUGAAACAAACAAAAACAAGAAAUUACCUCAACUAAUGGAGUAGGCCACAAUCUUUUCAUUAGUUGUUCAUGGUCAGGGUUUUGAUACUCAACCACGCCUGGCGCUACUGGAGGUGUUCUUGGACGUUUCAAGACUAAAACUAUUCAAAUUGAACCACACCCAAAACUUUCAUUAAAACAUUAAACGGGUGUUUUGACCAUCUUAUGACUAUUUUGUCUGAUGUGCAUUAAUAGAGCAAGAGACCAAAUUAUGCCAGUUUUUUAAAAGCUAGAGCCAAUGAGUCAAAAUUGAAGUUCUAACCUUGAUUUUGUCGAGCAGGUAUGGAGAUGCAGUGACAAUAGCAAUUUGAACAGAAGAAGAGGUAGAAGCAUUAGCCAUCCAGCCUGCUAAAGCACCAGCAUUAGCUACUGCUAUUGUUGGUUGGAAAGGCUAUACACCAAAAGUAGGACAAGACAUGUGUUGGUCCAUAUUCUAAAUAUUAUUAUAGAAUUACAAAAAAACAAACACACAUUUCAAGGAAAUAACAAAACUCUACAGAUGUUUGGCAUAACACACUAUGAGCUCCAAGUAAUGUAUAAGCAGCAGGUUUUGCAGUUGUAGCAACUGGAAGAUUGACAUGUAUAGGUGCAAGAGGCUCGUUUGGAGGCAUACAUGUGUGAUCUAUGAAUAAAGUCUUGAUAUCUAAGUUUGGCCUUGGAUUCUUGCAUAGCUGAUGCUGCUAGCUCAAGCUGUAUGACUACGUACUUACAAAUCAAUAAAAAAAAAAAACAAUCAUAAUAGGUAAAACUAUCAACUUCACCUUUGGUUGAUCAAAGUCCUUGGUCUUGAACGUUUCAAAAUAAGGAAAGCAAGCUUAUCAUGAAAAAGUGGAUUUGUUUCUACGAGUUUCUCUAGUUUUACCAACAUUAUAUUGCGAGCAGUUUUUGUAUCCCUAUAUUUGGAUAGCUGCUUAUUUUCCCUACAUUCAGAUGAGAAAAUUACAAUUAUACAAUUAUGAAGAUUUCAAGCAUUCAUUUGGAUAUGGCUUACAUGACAUGGAAAUUCUCUCAUAAACAGUCAAGAUUUUAGAUAAGUUCUGCCAGACAAAUAUUUCCUUAUAAUCAAAUUCUUUCGAAUAAACAUUUCAAAACAAUGUUCCCUUGUUACCCAAUCCAAUUUCUAGACAGACAAAUCGAUUAAAAAAUAGAAAUCAAUCAUCAAUUCAACGCUACACCUUGACAUAUAAUAACUAACCAAUGGUUUAUUUGUGCAAUUAAAUUACCUAAAAUUGUUGAGAGUCAAAAGUUGAGUAAUUUCCUUGUACAAUUCCUCAUUAAAUGUGGAGAACACCUUUAAAUUGCUCACCAAUAUUUCAACAGCCUUUGCCUUGUCUUGCCUGCAAUAUCAAUAGAAAAAAAAAAAAAAAACUAUUUCAGCAUGGAAAAUAAGAGUUAAAUCAUUCAUCAAUAAAAAAUUUAAGGAUGCCAAUUAGUGGAACAACUGAAGCAUUAACAAUACCAAUAAAAUCUUUCAGAUACUUCUGCUUCCUUAUCUCAAAGAAUAUCUUUAUGGAAUAUCAGUUAUCAUCAACUUUUGUAAAACCAGAUAAAUACUUCUCAACUUCUUCCCACUCUCCUACUUUAACUUUCUUUUCAAAGUACUUCAUGUUGAAGAAAAACCCCGAUUCUUUCUCAAGCCUAUAGAAUACAACAUUGUUUCAAACAUAAAUUCACAAUCAAAUAAAUGCUACUGCUAAUGCUAAUGCAGAUGCAAAUCAAAUCACUCUACUUCCUAAGGCAAAAAAUAAUAUGCUAAGGAACAGAAAAACAUGUUGCCUGCCGGUAAAAUUCCAGUAAAGUCCUACCUACCACUUUACUCACAGAAGAACCUAUGAUAAAAUUGAGUUAUGAUUGCUUCUUCUUUACGCUUUCUAUUUUGUUUUACCUUCUUAUAAUUAAAAUAUAAACAAAUUUAAAACCAGGAAACAACAAAUUCAUUUCACUUCAAUUCGCCUCUUCAAUUCACUAAGAUUGAAAAAUUUGUUAUUAAUACUCCAUUGCAUAUCUUACAUUACUUGCAAGUAACCCCUGCCUCUUAACUAAAUUAAGCAUCAGAAACUUCCUUUUACGACUAAAAUCCUCUAUUUUUCAUCAUUUAUCACCACUAAAACUCAAAUUACAAUGGCUACUUAAAUUACUAUAACAACUCAAUAACCUGAUUUUUAAACAAAUAAAUUGAGUGAAAUUCAUCUUACCUAAGCUCACCUUGCUUAAACACAAUGCAAGAAAAGAACACAAAAAAAGUUUGUCUUAUAGUUCAUGUAUAUCAAGUGAGAAAGCGGUAUCAUUUAAUUUUUUUUGAGGAUUAAAUUUCUAUCAUGCCACCAGUAAUAUAUAUAUAUAUAUAUAUAUAUGAGCAUAUUUUAAGAUGUCAUGUUGUGCACCUGCUUAUUUUCAUAAAAAAUUUCUUUACUCUAAAUUGGCUCAAAUAAAAAUGAAAAAAAUGAUCAAAUUUAUCACUUGUAUUAUAUUGGGGUUUCAUAUUUAUCACUUUAUGUUAUGUUUAGAUAUAUAUUAUUAAUACAGAAAAACAAAAGAAAUGAAAAAAAUUCUAACAACCAUUAUUUAGAUAAAGAGUGAAAAAAAAAUGAUUCAUUAUAAUAUUUUUUUUCAAUUAUAACUUUUUUUUUUUAUAAAAUAACAUAUAAUAUAAAAAUCCAUUUCGAGUUCUUAUAUCUUUUAUCCAUUUUCCUUGGAGCCUGUUUAUGGUUUUGAUUACAUUUUUGGUUAGUCAUAGUUUCAUAAAUGUGAUAACUAAUAUAGAAGGAUAGCAAGGCAGACACCACCUCUCACUUUUUAUAUAUUUAUUACAUGUUUUGGGUGAGGAAAUAAAGGAAAAGGAAAAGGAAAAAUUUUGGGUAGAAAAUUUACUGCUUUAAAAUGUCUAAAGAGUUACAUGGAAUUGUAAUUGUGUUAGGAAUUGAAUAUUUUGGUGGUGUGCUGGUAGUUUUUAGGUCUUCUAUUAUUGGUUAAUUGAAUUGAGUACGAUUUGAUGGUUUUCUACGUAAAAAUUUAUAGAAGAAAAAGUUAAAAGAUAUUGUGAUGCGACUAUGUUUUUAGUGUUAAUAAAAAAAUAUAUAUAUAAAAUAAUCUUUACAUAAUUUUUUAACUUUCUUUUCUUUAACUUUUUUUUUUUUUAAAUUGAGGUAUUAAAAAAGUUGAGUGUGCAAGAGAAACUAAAAGUUAUUGAAUUUUCACCUUAUUUCUUUUCUUUAAAUUAAAAGUUUAUCCAAAUAAGAGAGAGUUUUUUUGUUUCCUUUAUUUUCUUUUAUUUUUUUUUAUUUUUCUUCUCUUCACCUCAAUCCAAACACAUUGUUACUUUUUUUUUAUAUAAUUUUACUAUCAUACUACAUUUUUUUAUGUAAUUUUAAUCACCUAUGGAUGAAAAUAAAAUAUUUUAUCUAAGAAAAAGAAAGUUCAUUAAAAAUUUUAAUGAUUUUUUAAUUUUUAUUAUAUAAAAAAAUAAAACUAUUUUAUAUCAAUAAUUAAAUAUAAAUAAAUAAAUUAUUUUUUAAAAUACCAAUAAUAUCAUUUUUUGUAAAAAAAUUAAAAUUUAGUCAACAUAGAUAUUAUUUUAAUAUCAACAUUCAAGUAGAACAAAUAGGUUAAUAAAAAAAAAUGGUUAAACAAAUAGGUUGAGUUCCGUCAAUUUGGCAAAAGACCUUGAGAUUGCAAGAACAAUCCAGCAUCUUUCAUUCUAAAAAUACUCUAGCUGCAGCAGAUCUAAUAUAAUUCAUGAUUAUUUGGGAUCUAAUUUGUUGCUUAAAAAGUAAUAUAAGAUGCACCCAACAUUGUCAUUAAUUUAUAUAUAUAUUUGCUUGAUAAUUUGGCUUCUUAAAACGAUCACACCCCGCUGGCCAUGCAAUCAAAGAAGUUCAGAACCAAAAAAUUAAUGUUAUUGCAGGACUAACUUUUCAUUAUAAGAUGAAAUCUAUGUUAAUCUGACCAAAUUUCAAUGCUUUCUUUAAAAAGGGUACCUUUGCAUGUUUUUUUUUGGGCUAAAAGGCAUCCUAAACAAAAAAAAAUAAAAUCCCAGAAAUAAACUUUUCAAAAACAUUCAUAAGUAAUGUACAUACUAGUAGAGAGUUCAUGCCUUCAUGGGUAUCUAAGUAGAAAUGCUGAAAAUGAAAAAAAUUAAUUAGAACAUAACCACUUAACAAUUGAUGCAUGCACCAAUUUGAAAUGAAAAAGUUCUGUUCCCACCCAUCAACAAAUGAUAUUCCAUUUAGAAAGGUAGGGCAAUAUAUCCAGGUGCACUGGCUUGAAACAUUAAAAUUAUAAGCAACUUGAAUCACAAUUAAAUAAAAAAUUCAUUUCCAAGUAUUUUAGCUUGACAAUUAUAACCAAUUUGUUGGUCAUGAACCAAUUCUAAUGCAAGAAAAACACCAAACCUAGCUAAAACUUGUAAUGUUGCCUUUGACUCUGGAGACUGAUGAAUUCAAAAUUCAUAUGGUUUGAAUUGUUGACCAUGGAGAUUGGAGCGUUUGAGAGAAAAAUCAAAGUUUUUUCAUCUUCAAAUCAACAAUUAUAAUCAACAGGGGAUACGAACCUGCGUUGCAUACAGUUGCAAAAUGCCCACUUGUGCAAGCAGGCCACUUUCAUAAUAUAGAGCAGUUCAUAGAGUUGUGGGCGCUAAUAUUUUCUGCAUAAUGGCCACUUGGUUAGCAUUUUUUUUUUUUUAAAUUUUUCAAGAAGUUUACUUAACAAAAACGAAAAAAACAAAAAUUAAUUAGCUUGACAACGAUGGAAGUCGUUGACAUUAAUUGGAAGAUUUCUCCUGACUUGGAUAGCUAUUUAUUUCAUUGCAGAUUUGCAAUUAAAGUACUAAUCUACAGCAAUAACAAAUUCAAUUGCUGAUCAAUUAAGGAUUCCGGAAACAGAUCCCUAUCGAAGCCAAUUUACACAAGUUGUUGCUUUUUCCAUUCUUUAGAAACUUCAAGAUCAAUAAAUUUCUACAAACCACACAAAAACCUCAAAACCCACAAACCAACAUGCAUUAAUUAAAAAAGAAAAAACGCUAUUACAAUAUCGACAACACAACAAUAUAAAAAUUUGGGAUUUUAAAGGAUUAUAUACCUUUUUCUUCAAAAGUUUAAUAUCGACCAUGAAAAAACACAAGCCAACCUAAUAUUUCAUAUGUGAUUAUGCCAUUUUUUUACUGAUUUUCCUUGUUGAUAGGAUAGAGAGAAAACCAAGAGAUGGAAAAGGGAACCAAAGAAACUUGAAACUUUGGCAAUUACUUCUUUGCAAACAAAAUAAACAAAAAGAAGCAUCUGGAGAAAUUACAUCCGAUUUUUUGUGCAAAAAUUAUCGACGACUUAGGAACGGUCAAAUUUGACUGCGAGAGAAGAAAGAGAGAAGGGAAAAGAAAGAAAGAAAAUGAAGGGAGUAGAAAAGUAAGGCCUGGAUAUAAUUAUAGUUUGUUUUGAAAAGUUUUUCAUCUUCAGUUUCAACAGUCAAACAUAUCCAGAAGCUUUUUAAAUAGUUUUAUUCUAAAAUUAAACUUUCAAUUAUUUUUAAGUACAUUAUUGACGUUGCACACGGAAUGCCUCAUGGGAAUUGCAUGUAAAUGAGUUAUAGAUUUGUGAAGGGUAAAAUGAAGUACUUUCAUUUUAUUUUUCUGUAGUUGGGGACGAGGGAAUGGACUGUGGGCUGGGUCCUUAGUUAUCGAUCAUGGAUAUAUACUUUGCUAUGAUAGACACAUAUUGGUAGAUUAGUAGUGGCCCCCAACUUCCCUCGGGGAAUAAAAGGUCUAACCUGGCUGCCCGGAUUUGUCCAACCUUGCUUUCACUGUCUCGCCUGGGUGAAAGGGCGUAGCCUUUUUGUCUUGCGCUAUAAAAGCCGUGAGACCUGAGUUACCCUUCCUCUUUGUCUUCGGAAGUUUACUAUGAUCAGGGCCGGCCUUGUUUGUACUCCUACUACUUCAUGGAAAUAGCAUCUCAAUCACAUUGUUAUUUUGGAUAAUUUCUUUUAUAAAUAAAAAGAAAAAAAUGAAAGUGAACUUUUUUACUAUUUAAUAUAAAAUAAAGAAAAUAAAACAUUAAUUCAAAUGUAAUUGAUUUCAUCUAAAUUUUUGUUCUUCACAAUAGUAAAAUUUUAAAUUUUUUAAAAAAUAUUUUUUAUUUUCCAUCAAAAGCAUAAAAUCUCUAAAAUCUUAAAACAGAAAAAGGUAUUUCACGAAUGAAAAAGAAAAAAAAAAGAAGAGUAAGGGUAAAAUUACUAAAAUCUAAAAACAGAUAAAAUUAUUACUUUAAAAUUUCAAUAUCAAGGUUUUUCAUGUCUAGUCUUUCAGAUAAUCUAUUACUUUGUCAUAUAAAAUUAAUUUAUUUUCUAGUGGUUUUCAUGUUAUUGUUUAGGUUGCCGCUUUUUGCAACUUUUUUUUUUAGUUUCAAGUCUGACGUAGAUAAAUUGGAUGAAGAAAAUUUUAGUUAUUAUAAUUAUUAUGGGUUGAGAGUUACUUCAGGAGAGAAAUUAGAGUUAUAAUUAAUUUUUGGAACAAUGGAAGAAUUUUUCAAUGAUCAAAGAUCAUGAACUUCCGUGAAUUUUGUUGUGUUUUUCUGCUGAUUUUGAUGUUUGCUGCUUAGGUUGAUGUUGUGGGAAGAUUUGUAGCUUGUUUUCAGCUGAAUGGAAAUUUGCAAUUAUAUAUAAAAAAGAAAAAGUGAAAACUUUGUGUACCAAUAAAUGUCGUAAAUUUUUUGGUGAAGUAUCAAAUGGCUCUGGGUUAAUCUGUUUGCAGUGUAUACAUGUUGGGAGGGAUGAAUUAGACGAGGAUCAUAGUUGUAUUCAUAAUAUAAGACAGUCCCUUGUCUUUUAGAACAGGGCAUAUUUGAUGUUUUUGAUCGAAUUCAAGUAUGUUUUUUUUGCAUCUUGAAAACAUGAAAGCAUCCCCAUGGAGGUUUAUUUGGUAUUACCAUAAAAAUAAACGUGUUAAACCAGCUUCACAGUUUGGUAUUUGAGAUGUUUUAUAACACGUAUGAAACUGAUUUGUUGAAAAGGAUAUUGAUUGUAGGUGUUUGUGAUUUGAGACACAUGGACAAUGAGCAUAUCAGAUCUGUUAUGUCUAUCUUAUCGAACUGGAUCGGAUGAUUGGAAGCCAGUGAGUGUGAAGAUUUAUGGUUAUAGUUCGAAGGCUGUUAUUUUCUACGGCACCUUCUUUCCAGGUGACAUUUGGUUGGAUAUUAAUCUUUAAAAAAUGUAUGAAUGGCUGAUUAGCUGAGAAACAGCAUGUAACAAGUAUUCCUCUCAGUUUUAUGACACAGUAGCUGUCCAUAGCCCAGAUGGCCAGAACCGUGUGAUAUUAUUUGGAGACGCUAAAUGAAUCUUGAAUCCCAGAUUAAAAUUGGUGUUUUCCCAUUGGCUUGAUGUUUUGUUAAUUUAUUUAUUUUUUAUUUUAAAAUAUAGUAAAGCAACUGAUAGAAAUAUGUUGACAAAAUGAGCCUCAUUUUGUUUCCAACUUAAUUCAAAAUAAAAUAAGCCCAAAUCUGAUCCAGAACGGGUCGGCAUUUUUCUGGACCUCGAUGCACUGCCUAAGGAGGUUGGGCAACCCGUUAGGCUUAGCUCAGUAGCGUGCAGUGCUUCAGUUGCUGGUACCUUACGGCUGCACGCACAGAUUGUUUUAUUAAUGAGAAGACAUUCUGUAUUUUUAAAUAUUUGAUUAAAUUUUUGAAUGAAAAUGAAAAUUACAAUUUAUUUGAUUAAAUAAAUUUUUAAAUUAAUAAAUUUUAAUUUAAUUCAAAAUUUUUAUUAAAUAUAUAAAAAUAAAACGGCAUAUUCUAUUAGUCAAACUGGUCUAAUCUAACGCAACAUACAAACUAAAAAGGGUUUCAACAUCCAACGGCCCAAGUUGAGUGCACCGCCAAAACUAUAAGAGCAUGAACCCUAAUUCUCUUUCUCUUCCUCUUUCCCUCUUGCUCUUACGUUUAAGUGCCACCUAUUUUUGCAGCCGAAGUCUCGCUCUCUCUCUCUCUCUCUCUGAGACGCAGCUUUUGAUUCUUAGUUUACAACAAUAUAAUCUAAAUGCCUUCUUAGCCUUAUCUGAUCUCAAAGAGAAGAAAGAAGAGAAAAGAUGAAGAAGAAGAUUGCUAUCGAAACUCCAGAAACCGAGAAGAAGAUGAAGAAGCUAAAGGAACCCAAGGUUAAAGAAGAGGAAAAUGAUUUGGAGGUGAAGAAGAGUAAGAAGAAGCGAAAGGCGUCCGAACUCCAGUUGGA
rnacentral:lncRNA from 1 species